AUGAUACAUAAAAUACUCUCUACUCUCAUGUAUGACUAAAAAGAACAAAUUUUUGAAAAGAAGAAUUAUACUGCAUUUGCUGCUGCCUCCUUGUUCUUCCAAAUUCAUUCCAUCCAAGCCUCUAACCUAUUGGAUGGUGCUGCCCACGCUUAGGGAGGGUCUCCACUCUAGUUCACUAUCCCACUUGCCAUCGUUCCUACACACACCCUCACUGACAUAUCCAGAAGCCUCUUCAUCUUAGGCAUCUCAAUCCAAUCCCGCUGACAAUUCAAAUUAACCAUUAUGGUAAGUUGACCUUACUGAUUACAUUUAAAUGUCACUUAGUUUUUACUUUAUUUUAACGGUUACUAUAUUAUUAAUCAAUUGUAACAAAGGUACUACAGGAUGCGUGAUACUGAGCGUAGGGAAAACUUUCAGGGAAAGAGAGCUAGAUGAGAACUCUGUAGUUUUUGCCCAAUUUUCUAUAAAAUUAAAACUCAAAAGCACAAAAUGUAUUCGUUAAAGGAAUAAUAGCUCAACAGUGAAAAGAGGGCUUUUGCUCAUUCGGCAGGCUUUGUACAACCACACCAUGAGUCAGCUGGGUGGGAGGAGGGGAAAGCCAGCCAGCCUGGCCCUGGAGACUUCAUGUCUCCUGUGCCCUGGUCCCUGGGGCUGAGCUUCCCUGCCUCCUGUCCAGGGAGCUGCAUUGCAGUGGCUCUGGCUGGACAAUCUCUCUAAGGCUAUAACCAGAGGUCAUUUUCCAGGGUCAAGUUUCCAUCCACAAGGACCACCCUGUGCACAGCUCGAUCCCCUCCCCAAGCCGGUCCCCGGAGGGGAGGGCUGGUGUGUGGCUGGCCCCUGCAGAUGCAGGGAGCUCAGCUGGGGCUGUGGGCAGGUUCUGAAAGGUGCCCUUGUUCAAGACACUCUACGUCUAUCUGACAGAAAAUUGUCACAACACUCCGAGUGUUUUAGACAAAACACUUCCAUGUAGAUGAACACAAAUGUGCAAAGUCCGGGCCCGAAGGCAUCUCCCAGAUGUGGGUGCCUCCCCAUAGACAUUGACGGGUCAGGUCAGGUCAUCGGAAGCCUCAGCGUCCACGCCCACACACCCCAUCCUUGAGAGCCAGAGACAUCUCAGGGGAUGUUCCAAAUCCCUGCAGGCAGACUAUCUCCAGCCCUCUGUUUCUUAGGGUAGUAGGGAACUAGUGGGCUUUCCCCCUCAUUCUGUACCUUCCUAUUGGUUAAUUGGAAAUGGUUCUGUCUGAAUGGGAAGGUUCUCUGUCCUGGGGUCCUUGAACAGAGAAGUCUCAGAGCACAAUCCUGAGCCGUCAGGGUACAGAGAACCUCCCACCACCUUCCCAGGAUUAACUGGCCACUUGGGUCCUGAGAAUUUCCAGUGCCCCAUAUUUAGGGGGCUUUUGUUGUAUUAAAAAUGACAACUGCAUUCAAGAUGAGAGGUGCUAUUCAAAGAAAAGAUAAGUAGUCUCUACUGAGAGCUUUCAUUGUUUUGAGAAUAAUGCACCUCAAAAUGCUAAGCCACCAAGUGUGUAUGGGGGCUGGGAAGGGAGUACUCUUCCCACUUGAUUAGCUGAAAAAGAUCGUAAAGAGGCUUUCGUUUUUCAUAGAAAAUUUGCCAUACACAACCCCCCCAAUUUUCGCUUAGUAAUAAACCCAUCCUUCCUGCCAAGGACAGACUCUGAGGGCCACUUUGCUUGGCCUCCCAUCUAUCUCAUCCCAUGAUAGGCACUCUCCAGCACAGACCCUGGCACUGGAGCUGCAGAGGAAGGAGCCUGCCUCGCUGAGUCACUGCCUGGAGGAGGAUGACCUAGCUCAACAACCUCCUUGGACCUGAAAUGGAUAAGAAAUAACCUUUGAUUUUGUUGAGUCACUGAAAUCUCGGGUUGUUUACAACAACUGGAAUGAAUUAUUUUGUACCAUGGAUAUUGGUAUUCUGACACAGGUUUCUGCUGUGGCCAUUUUCUUAGCAUUUGGGCAAGAGGUGGGGAGGACAGCAUGCUGCGUCAUCUAUGACACUGUGUUGAAACGGUUAGCAGAUGGUCACCUGCAGAGACUUGGGGAGCACACAUCAUUGCUACAGGAUCAUGAGGGCAUCAUCGCAAAAUGGAUUUUUAGGAGUGUGUUUUAACUGGAAUUGAUAAUGUUCAGAAUUGUGAGAGACAAAUGAAAGAAAUAAGCUCAGGAAAUGAUUAGCCCUGGGCUUGAGCAGCAUGCUGUGACUCGGCAGGGGCCUGUGUUCUCUUCCUUGGAGAAAAGGUGAGCAGUUUCAGGAUAUCCGAAGAAAAACAAAGCAACAUGGUGACCAAAAGGGUGGCCAGCCGCUGAAAUACUUUUAUGCCUACAUGAAUGGUUUCAUUUUUCUCCUGGGAUCCAGGAGAUUCCAUUUCCCAGCUCUGUGGCAUGUGGGUAAGCCAGGUGAUUGGUUUUGACCCACAUUCUAGGGUUAGAAGUCACAGGAUCUUGUAAUGGCUUGUGGCAUAAAAUACUGUCCUCGUGCUUCCUCAGUGAACUUAGAAGACAUGGUUACGGAUGGCAGUGUCCAGAGAUGGAAAGACCUGGACCCCUGAAUCAGCACGUGGAGGAGAGCUUCCCAGGAGUACCACCCAACUACGGCAUCCAGGGAGACUGCUCCAGCUGCCCUGCUCAGGUCCUCAGAUGUCCAGAGAGGAGAGCCAGGACCAACCGGUGUUCAUGCCAGUAAAUGGCCGGGUUUCUCCAAGGUGUCCUACCACCAUGGACAGCGCCCCUGGGUCUUCCACCAGGCCCUGCACCUGGUCCAGUGAAGCAGCACUACACAAGACAGCUUCCAAAAUCAAGUUCAAGUUUGUAUGUGACGAGGUUUAAAAGUAGACCACUCAGCCGCGCAUGACCUGAAUGUGAUGAGGAGACAUGAAAGCGUGUGUUGAAGUUCACACGCCCGUCUCUGUGGCCAGCAUUCCCCUGUGCACGUGGCCAGCUCACCAGCUCCGCGAGGAGGGCACCUGGGAUGGAGGAGUGAGGUGGGCUCAGGGCUCAGGAGCAGGCAGCCAGCAGGGGCCCCAGGCUGCAGGGUGGCAGGAGGCUGGCUUUGGGCCCAGGUUGGGCUGAAAUCUCGAGAAGAGUCCCAGGUUUGAUUCCCACUGUUUCUGCUUGUGAUGAGAGAGUCACUGAGGACCAGAAGCACUGGGCUCCGGGGCCACGGCAGAACACGGCGUGCUGUCCUAGAACCACUUGACUUGGCACUGCGUUCCUUUACUUUCAUUUUAGCUUUUUGAAAAAUAAGAUGCUUCUUGCUGGGCGCAGUGGCACACGCCUGUAAUCCCAGUGGCUCAGGAGGCCCAUACAGCAGGAUCACGAGUUCAA